GGGAGGGAGAGCCUUGCCUUCUCCACUGUCAUAAAGGUGGAGGCAAGAGAAUGGGAGUGUUAGCCAUUGGCCAUGGUGUCACAGCUCCAUGAGGAUUACGUUGGCCAGCUUCCGUGAUGAAAAUAGGCAGCUAACAGCAGCAGCUCCAGCAGAUGUCAGCUCCAGCUUCACCCCCCUGGUUACCAUGAGUGAUACACCAGGUGCUGGGAGCCUUCUUCUCCAUGCUGGGAGCCUUCUUCUCACACUUCAUGCAGACUGCGACUUCUUCGUGUGGAUGCAGAGGGAAUUGUGAUCAGCAAACCUAAUCUAUUUGCAGAGGAGGAUGCAAUGAAUUGAAUGCACUGAUGACUUCCCCCUACCCCCGCCCCCCGCCCCCCGUUAAAGUUACAAUCAAACACAGUUUUCCGUAGAACAGUAAAGCACCCGGCAGAGGAAAGUUCUCCAAACCUGAGCUCAGCAUGAGCUCAGCAUGUCAUAUGGACUGGCAUGUACUUCCCAUCACCACACGUGCUGGAUGCCAGCUCUUCUGCACAGGCUUACCAGCAAUGCCCACCACCUCAGGCAGAGACCUCUCCAUAGCAAUAGCUCUUGGCUUGGUGCAGAGAACACCAAGUUCUGAUUGCUGGAACCUGGACACAUUCUUCCAAAGCAAAUGACAACCAUCAAGAAAAAAAAGUUGCUGUUUCUUUCUAGACUGACUCUGUCUGGUUUAAAUCCAGGCACUGAGUGCUGCCUCCUGCUGGGUCCUCCACAGUGGGGCAGAGCUCUAUCAGCCCACAUCUCUUUACACAUAGGCAUUUGCGGGUGGUGGCCAUGGCGCCUCUUCAACUCUUUCUGGGUGAACAAAAUGAGCAGCUCAGCAGGAGGUGCCUUUCCCAAACAAUAUAUUGAACUU